UUAACUCUCUUUGCCUUUUGGCUUAGAUCAAGUGUAGUAUCUGUUCUUUUCAGUGUAACAACUGAAAUGUCACUAUUCGUGACUUUAUUUGUUACUCUUAUUUUUGUCUCUGGCAUUUGGUCCUCUGGGCUUGCCUAUGGUCAAAUGCAUUGUGUCGUUGCUAUUGCACUGCCGGCAACUGACGCGAAUAUCU
rnacentral:snRNA from 1 species